UAAGUUAGAAGUUGAAAUAGUUGUUAUUAAUUAAUGAUGCGGUCCCAACGCAUCAAGCCCUAAUUGGGAGGUGAUAAGUGAUGUGGGGGUGGCAGUCCCACCUAACCUA
rnacentral:ncRNA from 1 species